rnacentral:lncRNA from 1 species
GAAGAAAAAUCUUAGAUUGAAGCGGAAUAUCUAACUCCAUUGGUAAGUUUCAUUAUUUUUGUUAUACAUAUUUUUCAUUUUUCAUUUAUUUAUUUUUAAAAUACAGCAAUUUAUCGAAGCGACGGUCAACAAAACUUUCGGCAAAAAUAAAAAGAAUAAGAUAUUGGGGAUUGGAGAAGUGGUCAGUAUGGUUUUAGUACAACUAACGAAAGAUAGGCUUCUCCAAAUUGGAAAGGAAAAGAGCUUGUCUCUGAAAACACGUCUGCUAAUGAUAAUCGAAAUAUGUUGACGAAACAAGUCAAAAACUUAAAGGUAUUUUAAAUAUAAUUCAUUAAUUUUAUUGAUUGUCGAACUCAUUUAUGUUUUAAUUUUCAGAAUAAGUAUAACGAGAGUCAAAAAGGUAUCUCGAAAUAUAAGAAGAAGUUUCAAUCAAUGAAAUCGACAUUCAAACAGAUGAUUAAAGCUUUGAAGGCUUCCGGACUAGAUUUGACGAACAUUGCGUCCACUUCGAAGUCCAGCAUACUGUUUGCAAUAGAAUCAGAUCAUUCAGAUUCGGAUUCAGACGAUUCGAUUUUUGACGAGUGUUGAUUGAUAUUUUGUAUUUCAGUUUCCAUUUUAUUACAAAACAUCGAUUUCAAUUUCACGAUUUCAAUUCAACGAUUUCAUAAUCGUGUUUCAAAACAAUAACGAUUCAAAUGCUGGAUUUAAUAGCAUGUUUUAAAAAAAAUUGCACAAACAUUGUAUGACGGAUUUCCGCCAUCUUAUGUUACAAAGAUAGUCGACGGACAUCCGGUAUCAAUAUAAUUAACCGCCAUCGAUGAAUUGACGCUAACUUUUUUCGCGUCAUAUUAUACAUGGCGGAUGUCCGCCAUCUUUUAAUUUUCAGUUCCUGCGAAAAUUUUCAGAUUCAAUGGUGG